rnacentral:rRNA from 1 species
CCUACGGGAGGCAGCAGUGGGGAAUAUUGCGCCAUGGGCGAAAGCCUGACGCAGCGACGCCGCGUGAGGGAUGAAGGUCUUCGGAUCGUAAACCUCUGUCAGCAGGGAAGAACGGUCACUGUGCUAAUCAGCAGUGAAUUGACGGUACCUGCAAAGGAAGCACCGGCUAACUCCGUGCCAGCAGCCGCGGUAAUACGGAGGGUGCGAGCGUUAAUCGGAAUUACUGGGCGUAAAGCGCUCGUAGGCGGUAUGUCAAGUCAAGGGUGAAAUCCCCGCGCUCAACGUGGGAACUGCCUUUGAAACUGGCAAACUGGAGUGUGUGAGAGGAUAGUGGAAGUCCAGGUGUAGGAGUGAAAGCCGUAGAUAUCUGGAGGAACAUCAGUGGCGAAGGCGACUAUCUGGCACAUAACUGACGCGGAGGAGCGAAAGCGUGGGUAGCAAACAGGAUUAGAUACCCCAGUAGUC